CCCGCAAGGCUUAGGAGGUGAGGGUAAGAAAAAAAUUCGUAUAAAAGGAGAGAGAAAAGGAUACAGGCAUCAGUUGGGUGAGCAUCACCGACACGUCAACAACUGUUGUGAACUACCUGUAUGGCUGUACCAAUUGGCUUCUUCAUCGCAUUACCAGCUCGCAACAAUUGUUCGCAGUUAUAGCUAUAAUGUGCUCCUGUCGGAUGUUGUAUCGUUGAUGGCUGGGUCGACCACUAGUUUGUCAAUGUCUUUGUUGUACGGAUACCAAACCGCAAUGUCGACGCCCAUACUACACAACAACAACAUACGCUUCACGGCUUCAGCCGGUUAUUACACUAUCAAGGCUCCAGGGAAUUACACCACAACUUAUGAUGCCCCGAGCUUCUACGACGCCCUGAAUUAUAGAUAUUCUUCAGUUGCUGCAAUCAUUAACUGGCUUUGUGCUGCUGUUGAAUGUUGUAUCGUUGCUUGCCGAGUUGACCACUGGUGUACCGGUGUUCCCUGGGUAUGGCGGAUACCAAGCCACAACGCUGCUGUCUUACUACACAACAAGUAACGACCUGUUACUACACCGGGACUUCCAACUACUACACCGAAAAGGCUGAAUAUUACACAAGGACUUAUGCUACUCCAGUUUACUACACCGAGUAACCUAAACAUUACUCUGCUCCGAGCUACAACAGAGGCUCCUGUUUACUACACCAUCAUCGCCCCCGAGUGUUACACUGCCCCCAACCGCUACACUGAAGCUCCGAAGUACUACACCAUCUAAGGAAAACCAAUUCGCAUUCAUGGAUUACUAUGGUGUUGUGCUGCUGUUGGAUGUUGUAUCGUUGAUGGUUGGGUCGACCACGAGUGUACCGAUGUCUCCUGGGAAUGUCGGAUAUUUAAGAACAACGCCGCCGUCUUACUAACCAACCACAACAUGAUACGCAACGACCAGUUACUACACCGAGGCCCCCAACUAGUACACCAAGGCUCCAGAGUAUUACAUCACAACUUAUGAUGCCCCGAGCUACAUCACCAAAGAUCCUGAGUACUACAUAGAGCCUCCCAAGUACUACACCACCAAGUCUCCGGAGUUCUACACGUAUGCUGCCCCAGCGUAUUGAACCGGUACUACACCACCAAGGAGGCUCCAGAUUAUUACACUUAAACUUACACUGGCCCGAGCUACUACACCGAAGCCCUGAAGUAUUAUUCUCGAUUAUUCUUCCCCGAGCAACACUACCAAAUGGUCGAAUACUACACCGAGGCUGUGAAACACUACACCAUCAAGGCACCGAAGUACUACACCACUACGUAUGCUGCGCUAGCUUACUACACCGAUGUUUGCAAGUACUACACUGUUCCCAGUUCCUACACCGAGGUUCCAAGUAUUACACCACAAAAACGGUCGAAUACUACACAGAUGCGCCCAAAAACUACUCUGCCCCGAGCUACAUAAUCAAAACCGAGGCGGCCAAGUAUUACGUAGCCUCAACUUCCUACACAAUCGCCGUCUCUUCGUAUUUCGUUGAACCGAAAUACUUCACUGAAGCUCGAAUUACCACAACCUAUGCUACACUCAGCUACUACACCGAAUCUCCGAAGUCUUACUCUGCCCCGAGUAACUACACUAACUACUGAGGCACCUGAAUAUUACACCACAACCUACGCUUCUCCAACUUACACAGUCAUAUCUUAUAGUUACUAGUCACUGGGAAUUGUUGAUCUUUAAUGAGAAAAUAAAUUAUUAUAUCUGGGUAAUAA